rnacentral:lncRNA from 1 species
GUAAAAAUAAAACACAGCCAUUAUUGCCAUGCAUUUGCAAUUUUUCCAUAUAUUUUUCAAUUUAUUCAAUGCCGAUCAUUACAUGUAUGACGACCAGUAGACGUCAAUAAUGACUUAAUUAGAUUGAGCUAAAACGUAUACAAAUAUGACAUUGUGUCUGUUAAAUCAAUAUAGAAUAAGAUUAUCAAUGAGACGUUAUAUCACAAGAGACAAAGGGAAGAGGGUAUCAAAAGUAAAAUCACAAAAAAUACUGAACUCUGAGGAAAAUUCAAAACGGAAAGUUUCUAAUCAAAUGGCAAAAUCUAAAAAGCUAAAAAAAAAAAAAACAACUGGCACAUUCUUGACUAGUACAACCAUUUUCUUAUGUAGCCUGGUUUUAUAGCUCGCUUAACCUCUCACUUGUGUGUCAGUCGCAUAUAUAAACAACUAUAUGGCAAUGUUUGGCUCACAAAAAUGAAAGUAUAAAACGACCAUGUAUGACGAAACCUUCAAUUAAAUUGAGAACAAUAAUCCGAAGGAAGAGAAGAUAACAGCCGAAGGCCGUCAAUGGGUCUUAACAAAGCUAGAAAACCCCACUCCCGGUGCCAACAGUUUUUGGUAAGGUUCGUGUUGCUUUAUCUUUACUUGUAUAUGUUGAUUCGAGCGCUACUGAUGAGUCUUUUGUAGACGAAAC